rnacentral:rRNA from 1 species
AUCUAUGGCCAUGCCACCCUGAACAAGCCUGAUGUCUGAUCUCGGAAGCUAAGCAGGGUCAGGCCUGGUUAGUACUUGGAUGGGAGACCACCUAGGAAGACCAGGUGCUAUAGGCA